AUUGAACGCUGGCGGCAGGCCUAACACAUGCAAGUCGAGCGAGAGGCGGACGGGGGAGUAAUGUAUGGGGACUGCCCGAAAGAGGGGGAUAACUACUGGAAACGGAAGCUAAUACAGCAUACUAUCGGAUAACCCAUAUGGGAUUAGCGAGUAGGUGAGGUAAUGGAUCACCUAGGCGACGAUCCCUAGCUGGUCUGAGAGGAUGAUCAGCCCCCCUGGGCCUGAGCCACGGCCCAUACUCCUCCGGAGGCAGCAGUGGGGAAUAUUGCACAAUGGGCUCAAGCCUGCUGCAGCCAUGCCGCGGGUAUGAAGAAGGCCCUAGGGUUGUAAAGUACUUUCAGUCGGGAAGCGUUACCGACAGAAGGAGCACCGGCUAACUCCGUGCCAGCAGCCGCGGUAAUAC
rnacentral:rRNA from 1 species